UCGGGAAUUUUGGGCAAUGGGCGAAAGCCUGACCCAGCAACGCCGCGUGAAGGAUGAAGUAUUUCGGUAUGUAAACUUCGUAAGAAUAGGAAGAAUAAAUGACGGUACUAUUUGUAAGGUCCGGCUAACUACGUGCCAGCAGCCGCGGUAAUACGUAGGGACCAAGCGUUGUUCGGAUUUACUGGGCGUAAAGGGCGCGUAGGCGGUUUGUCAAGUCAGUUGUGAAAUCUCCGAGCUUAACUCGGAACGGUCAACUGAUACUGUCAAACUAGAGUACAGAAGGGGCAAUCGGAAUUCUUGGUGUAGCGGUGAAAUGCGUAGAUAUCAAGAGGAACACCUGAGGCGAAGGCGGGUUGCUGGGCUGAUACUGACGCUGAAGCGCGAAAGCUAGGGUAGCAAACGGGAUU
rnacentral:rRNA from 1 species